GGGGUCGAUUAGGAUUCGACGCUGGUGAUGAAACUUGAGGGGCAUGUCGAGCUGGUAGCAAACCUCGUAAAUUAGUUGCUACAAAUUAUAGUUGCAAACGAAGACAACUACGCUUUAGCUGCUUAGUCAGCUAACAGAUGUUAGGGGCUGCCUGUAAUCCCAAAACAUCUGUCAAAUAGAACAGGAUCGUCACAAAGUUUGCUAUAGACGGCGUGAUUAAACUUUAUAUAGCUAGCUCAAAGCACCCUGCCUAUCGGGCGGCGAUGAGUCAAUUUAAUAGAUAAGGCUAAGCAUGUAGAACCGAUAGCGGAGUGCUGGCGGACGGGGGUUCAAAUCCCCCCGGCUCCACCA
rnacentral:tmRNA from 2 species